AUGUGUCAUUUGAUCUUGGAUAUAGUAAGUGAGGUACGAAAAACGGACCCCUGGAUGAGCUUCGGAGAACCGAAUGAUCCAAGAUCACGCGAAAUCGUCAACAAUCAAAUCCAGCUAACUUACUUAGCGAGGUACGAAGAACGGACCUCAGGUGUGGAGGACAGUCCCAAACAUCACCUACUACAAACCCAGAACCAACGGCGUGGAUGGCGAUGCUACACUUGUAGAGAAGUUGAACUGCUUCUACGCCUGCUUCGAACAGAAAACACCAGAAGUGGCUACAUCACAUCCACCAGCCACAUCUUAACUGUUGGGGAGGAUGAUUUAAGGCAUGUACUAAGUAGAGUUGGAUGUCUCGAGACCGGUGGUCUUGGUCUCGACUGACUUUGGUCUCGGUCUUGCGUUCUCAAAUCGACAUAGUGUUCGGGAGAUUUGGAGUCAACCAUCUACGGAGCGGGGGGGGGGCUUACUGGGCUUAAGCCUGGGUCAUUUUUUCAGAAGCAUGGGGUCUUUUGGAGUGUAAUUUGUUAGUUAGAUGCCUGACUGACAACUGUAUAAAACAAAAACAACACACGAAGCGCAGAGCGCACCGUUGUAAAUUCCCCCUAAUUUUGGUAUGAUCUGAGCUCAGGCACUGGGCGACUGAGCGCAGCACCCAUGUGAGCGAGGGGGGAGAAGCUGCUGCCUGCGAGUUUGCUGCAGACAGAGGAGAGCUUAAGUUUGACCAGGUACCAAAGCAAAUCAUUCAUACUGUACAAAUAAUGUAAAUAUGACGGUGUAUCACAAAAGAUUGAUAUCAAACUGAUCACUUGGUUGCGUUACUUACUCUUCGAGUGAAUCAACAAAUGGAUCAAUAAAAAGCCGAACAACAAUGCUGAUUUUUUAGAAAGUCUUAGCUUACAUUUCAUAUUUUCAGUUGUUACCCUCCACGGCUAAACAAACUCUCUAAAUCGGUUUCAAUUGUGUACUAAUGAACACUACAAUGGACAUAAGGAGCUUCUUUCAAAGAAAAAACUCAGGUAGAUGUUAUUUUAUAUAUUAUGCUUUGUAUGUUGUUCAGUAUAUUUCUAUGCAAAACAAGAGGAAUUCCAAUACACAGCAGUAUAUUCACAGAUGAAACCAGAUAUUUACACUUUAGGGAGAAAACAAACUUUUUUUUUUACUGUUAAACAUCAAUUUAGAGUAAACUUGUUUUGUUUUAGAUAAAUAAAUGUUGAAAUAUCUUUUGAAUUAGUUAAAUGUCAGAAUAAAAAGAGGGAGCUGUCUAUUUUAAUCACUUUCAUCAAAUUUAGGAGUACAUAUACACUAAGUUUAUUGUUAAUUAAUAAGAAAACUCCAGACAAUUCCAUUCUGAGCUUAAGAAGCUUCUGAUAGGUUAGUAGAGUCCAUGUGAGUAAAUUGGUGGCACACCUGUGGAUGCAUAUAAGGCAAAACACAGAGCCUGUUUCUUUGACAUGGGAAAAUCAAGAGAUGUCAACCAAAACACCAGGAAAAGAAUCGUGGAGCUCUAUAAGUGUCACGUCCGGUGUGGCAGACGCGUGGAAUUGAAGAUAGGACCCAAAAUGCAGCAGCUCUGGUGCAGGUGAGUAUUUAUUGAACUGGAGUAGAUACAAACAAUAGAGGCGGGUGAACAUGAAACUGGAAAACCUAAACUGGGCAAACUAACAAAACAAACCAGAACGUAGGUGCAGGGGGGCACAGGAAAAUCCACAGGAAGACGGACGGUGAGACGCAGGGAGACCGAGGGGAACAACACAGAUGAAGCAGCCACUACAAAGACAGAAGACGCGACUUAAAUACACACAGAGAAACACAGGGAGAUUACACACAGGUGGUGGACACAGCUGGGAGUAAUUAACAAGACGAGACAAGAGGUAAAACCGAACACAUACACAUGAGACGCAGACCUUCACAAUAAAACAGGAAACGAGAUCACUACACAAAGACGCAGACCCGACACUGAGAGACACAUGGAACUAAACCCACACAAAACAUGAGAACAUAAAACCUGCGAACAAAAACCCUAAACCAGAAUCACAGUAAUAUAAUAUAUCACAAAUAAUCAAAACCCCAGACAACCCCAAAACACUCAAACAUGCAAAAUAAACCAAAACAUAAGGAACUCAAAAUACUGGGUCCAACGGACCCAGAACCAUGACAAUAAGUGUGGCUCAGUUUUGAAUACAAAAUACAAAAGUUAACAAAUAUGUUUUUUAUAUUUAGCAAUCUAAAAAAAAAAAAACAUUUAGUCUGAUUUGACGUUACAAUUAAAAAAGUGUUUGUGUUUUUAUCUGAAGAGUAUGUAAAUAUCUGGUUUCCACUGUAUAUUUGAUGAUGCUGGUGUUUGGCUUGAUUGUCAGCACAAAGAGGGAGAGAGAGGAAAAGAGAAUGAGAGAGAGGAACAGAGAGGGAGAUGAAGAAAGAGGACAAAACAGAGAUGGAACAAGAGCAGGUGAGACACACAUGUUAGUCAAAUGGUUGUUUGCCAAAACUCAUCAAGGUUCAAGGUUCAAGGUUCUUUAUUUGUCACAUGCAUAGUUAUACAAGUAUAACACACAGUGAAAUGUAUCCUGACACGAUCCUCGACAUGUGCAAAAACAUGGGGGGGGGUAGAGGAAUAACAUUGUAAAUAUAUAUAUAUAUAUAUAGUAUAUACAUUGGGUGAAUGUGCAGUAGAAGCAGCAGCAGGUGAAUUCUGUACAUUAAUAUGAAUAGACAUCUGACUAUUUUACAGAAUGGACAAUAUAAACAUAUUUAAAGGUAAAGGAAGUUAAAGGAAU
rnacentral:lncRNA from 1 species